CGGGAUGUGGCGCAGUUUGGUAGCGCGCCUGCCUUGGGAGCAGGAGGCCGCAGGUUCGAAUCCUGUCAUCCCGA
rnacentral:tRNA from 1 species